UGUUAAAAAUUUCAUUCAUUUGUAUUAUUAAAAACUAACAUGGCUAAUGAAUAACCAAACAGACAUGUGACAUGCCACAUGUACCUCAUGUUGAUGUACAUGGACUAGUUUUUAAUAGUAGAAAUAGAUAGAAUUUUUAAUA
rfam:Gossypium raimondii Chr12_contig_591, whole genome shotgun sequence.